CCAAUGAUAAGGAGUAAGGAGAAUUUCUUUUUUAUUUUUCAGAUAAAAAUCAGGAUGUGACGUAAUCCAAUCAUGGUUCCAAGCAGUAUGAUUGGC
rnacentral:tRNA from 1 species